rnacentral:lncRNA from 1 species
ACAGUUAUCACAAAUCAAGAAAAUAUCCCUCAUCCCCAGAAUGUUUAUGGUAAUGGAAAAAUUUUCUCGGUAGUUCCUGCAAUUGCCCAUUACAUCAUCUCUCGAACCCAGAAAUAUAUCCACCAUCUCCGGAAUUUUCUCGGUUAUCUGGGAAACUUUCCUCAUAGUUUUCAGGAAAAUGUGCCUCUCUGAAAGUCAUUUACCUAAGCCGUAAGUUUCCUGCAAAAUCAUGCUUUGGGAAUUAAUUUUAGAUAAAAUGUCAAUUACGGCUUUCAGAAAGUUCGGGGUUUCAAGGAUUCCGGCUAACGGAGAAGGCUGCUGUUCCUACCAGAAAUCAGUUUCAAAUGCGAAUUGAUCCUGUAACACUUGGACCUCAUUUUCCAGUUACCCUGCAAUGGAUCUUGUUGUAGCUUAUCUGCAUGAUCGAGCUUUACGACGUGAACGAAGGUAUCGGGACCCUUUGGAUCCCAUAAAUAUAAGCGAUGAAAAUCUAAUUAGAUAUAGGUUUCCUCGAUGUGAAAUUCUAAGACUGUGUGAAGAGUUAGAUCCAUUUUUAAGGCGUAGAACGAGAAGAUCUCAUGCUGAUUCCAUACACACGCAAGUGUUAGUUGCCUUAAGAUUUUAUGCCAGUGGAACCUUUCAACAUGUAGUUGGUGAUACAGUUGGUCUUACCCAAGCUAGUGUCAGUAGAAUUAUUAGAGAUGUCACUUCAAUACGAUCCUUCCAAAUGUGGCAAAAUUGUAAAUGCAUGUUUCCUUCUUCACAAUUAUUGUGUAAUGAGAAGGGUACCACUUCCCCACGACAUGGUCGACGAUGAUGGAGAGAUUGACAAUCCAGCUGAAGCUGUAGCAGGGACAGGCCAAGCAGUCCGAGCCAAUAUAGUCCGUAAUUGGUUUACUUGAUGAAUUAAAAUCAAAUAUCAAUUCACCAA